UUUCUCUCUUUUUUCUAUUAUAUUCAUAAACAACAAAUUCACAGGCAUAAGAGUCUACAACUUUGGAGUACUUAGGGAGUCAACAAUAGAUCUAAAAAUGGAAUGACUGACAAUUAUUAGAAAAGAGUAGAGAACAAUUCUCUCUGGAAGUCAUCACCUGAACUUGCUUGUGCUGGUACAAUAAAAAGAAGAGCAGUGCAACGGCAGCCACUUCUUCAUUCUUUUGUGACAAUAUUUGUCCUGUUGAAGGAUUGCGAGACUGAAGGAUAUCCCUUCCUACCUGGAGAACUAACCACUCCUCUCAUGCUUAACCUGCCAUCCUACAGCUGAAGUGAACUUUGCUUGGGAAGGAUAUAGGUGAAGCAAGUUGCUACAGCAACUAUACCAAACUGUUGCUGCAUUGAUGGAAUAUUCUUUGGUGUUCCUGAAAGCAUUUGUGUAGAUAAAGGCAUUGCUGUAACUAAAAAAGAGCUGAAAACAUAAAUAUUUGCUCUCAGAGGAAUCACAAAGAUACUUCAAGAAGGCAAAUCAAUGUCUGCAAGCUGGAUUGAAACAUGUCUCCCCUUCCCAAAUUACAAAAGUGUGACUGCCUGUCUCUACUGCCUAUGUAUGAAACUAGCAAAACUGCAGUGAUGUGUGUGAACCUACAACCAUGACCCUAAAACAGAAUUGGAACAGAACUUCAUGACAGCAGUGGAGAAGGCUGAAAUGAGAACACUGGGUUUGGAGUCUGCUUGCAUAACUUGAACUUGACCAUCUAUUCAAGGAGUAUGAACAUUAUUUUAUCUAUUGUGUUGGCCAACUGGCAGCAACAGACUAGAGCAGAUUUGAGUAACUAAUCAGCAGACUCCACAUUCUGAGAUGGAAUCACUAUGUAUGUGUCAUUGCAAACUACACAGUUUAAACUUGAACUGUGAUAUUUGUGGUUCAGAUUUAACUAAUUAGCAGAGUCCACAACUGGUGACUACUCACUAUGAAGUGCAUCAGUAGAACACUUCUGCUCCAUGGGUAGCUAUUCUAUCAAGUCACUCAAACUAAAAACUAUGG